rnacentral:rRNA from 1 species
UACGGGGGGAGCAAGCGUUGUUCGGAUUUACUGGGCGUAAAGGGCGCGUAGGCGGUAGCACAAGUCAGUUGUGAAAUCUCCGGGCUUAACUCGGAAAGGUCAACUGAUACUGUGCGACUAGAGUGCAGAAGGGGCGACUGGAAUUCUCGGUGUAGCGGUGAAAUGCGUAGAUAUCGAGAGGAACACCUGCGGCGAAGGCGGGUUGCUGGGCUGACACUGACGCUGAGGCGCGAAAGCCAGGGGAGCGAACGGG